GACGAACGCUGGCGGCGCGCUUAACACAUGCAAGUCGAGCGAAGCGGCGGACGGGUGAGUAACACGUGAGUAACCUGCCUUAGUCAUUGGGAUAGCCUCGGGAAACCGGGAUUAAUACCAAAUGGUCUAAGAUGGACUAGCGUCCCAUUAGCUAGUUGGUGGGUAACGGCCCACCAAGGCGACGAUGGGUAGCAGGCCUGAGAGGGUGAACGGCCACAUUUGAACUGAGAAACGGUCCAAACUCUACGGGAGGCAGCAGUGGUGAAUAGUGCACAAGGGAGGGAACUCUGAUGCAGCGAAGCCGCGUGAACGAAGAAGGCUUUCGAGUCGUAAAGUUCUGUUAUAUGGGAAGCGGUGCCAUAAGAAAAGGCCCCGGCUAACUACGUGCCAGCAGCCGCGGGAAUAC
rnacentral:rRNA from 1 species